GUAUGAAUGUAAAUGAUAAGUGUAAAGAUUUUUUAAGGACGUAGAGUUCUUCGGGUUAACAUUUCGAUACGAAAAAGUGUAAAGUGGACAUUUGUCAUGAUUUUGGUUCGAUUUCACACCUUUGUGAAAGGUACGAGAUAGAUAAUGUCUCCAAAACCACCCCAUAAACAUUGACGACACUUGAUCUACUAUGGAUUGGAUUUAUCUGCGCUUUUCCAGACGCUCAAGGCGCUUCCAUUGUGUCCAUUACUCAUUCACACCACCACGCUGAAGUUGGCUUCCGAUUCACAGCUACCGAUUCGCGAGUGCACUAAGAUCACCUAGAAGCGGGUCCUGUUCAAAAACCGCUGAACCUGGACUGCUCAAACCUGGAUUAAAUUACAACCUUUUGAAGAAUGAGGAGUGGGCACAGGGAAAAGCAUUGUGGCUAAAUGAAAUCGGAAGAUUCACAGGAUCAACCUGGGAUGCUUCUGGGGCAGAGGAGAACAUGGUCACAUGUAGAUUUGAAUUCCUUCACAGUGAGUACAGAAGUUGUACAAACAUGUCAUAAUCCAGCCUGUCCAACUGCAAAAAGAAGAUACAACUCAAUAUAUAUUGUGUGUGAGGACCUAAGUUACAGGCUGAUGUUGACAAGUGGUCCAAUGACAUUAUCGUACUACUUCCAUGCAAAAGAGGUGCUGGGCCAUGCACAGAACAAAAAAGAACAUGAAAACGUACUUUUGUGCAUGGGUUGCCAUGUCUUCUACUGGUAUCAAUCCUUCACAAAAACACUUUGACAAAGAACCAACAGCGUUGCCACAUCUGAUCGAACUUCUUGGUGGAAAGUAAGGCGUAAAAUGCAGCACUAAUGUGGAGAUUUACAGCAUUGGGUUUUAAUCGGCUUUAUUUUUAAUUUAAUUAGCAUCAUAUGUUUUUUCCCUAAUAUUGAAUUUUGGAAGGAAAUGUAAUGUUUAAAUAAUUGGCAUUUUUCUAUUUGUAUUUUUAUACUGGAUUGUACUAUUGUAUUUGUUUACACAGGUUGAGCCGGUGGCCAUAACACCUGGGUGCGCCAAAUCAUUUUGUUGCAUUCCACAGACUGGGCACAGACAAAAGCUGGUACUUUUAUGAUGGUCUACAGGAAUCCAAGAAGGCUGGACGAGGCGACAUAAAAAUGUCAGCCAUCAACAUACAAAAGAAACUGGGAAACAGAAGUCAGAUUAGACACACAGUUAUGGUCAGGGUUAGCAUGAGCCCCUGACUUAAGUUUGAGUUUUCUGUUCAAUAUUUCUUGGUUUGUUUCCUAAUUUACUUUAAAGUUCCUGUUUUGGUGUUUUGCUUUAGGUUGUCCUUCCCUUGUCCCUAUUACCCUUAAAUUGCAUAAAAUCAGAACCUGUGUUAAACGUAUUCUUCAGUAUCACAAUUUAAUCCAGGUUUGAGCAGUCCAGGUUCAGCGGUUUUUGAACAGAAGCCGGUUCUAGGUGAUCUUAGUGCACUCAUGAAUCAGUAGCUGUGAAUCGGAAGCCAACUUCAGCGUUGUAUUCACUCUUCAUUCAUGCUUGGUGAUGGAAGAGGCGUGGCUGCCAGUGCGUGCCUAUGGUCUGUCUGACCAUCACCGGGAUCUUUCACGCACACGCUGGUAGGCAGUAGCGUUAAGGUCUUGCCCAAGGGCCCUCAAUGGGUGAUGUUAAUAGCUCGCCAUUGUAUGGUAACUGCACCCAGUACCAUUGUUUAUUCCCAUCCGGGAAUCGAACCCUGAUUCCUCCGAUCUAAGACGCGACAUUCGUCAUUGAGUAAUUGCAGACUUGCCUCCUACACAUCAUAUCAUGACGAAUCAUGUGAAUAAAGGCCUGUUCACACCGGGACGAAUUUCGCCGGCGAUUUUCGCCGACGUUUAACGCCUCGUGACUAAACAAAGGGCACCAAUGUGAGUGUG